rnacentral:lncRNA from 1 species
AUGAGCCUCACUUACUCUCGAGCAAGCUGCAUGCUGCUUAGGCAAUGCUGUGAAGUGAGGAAAACACAGUUUCUGUCCUCAGAUGACUUGCUACAAACCCAUGGCCUUGCUCCAGCCUCAGAUGGGAGAUGUCGGCACAUGAGGUUGGAAACCAUCGCCAGCGUUGCCUGAGGCCCUGUCCCGACGCAUGCCCUGUGCUGAUGCCCUGUCCCGACACAUGCCCUGUCCCGACGCAUGCCCUGUUCCAUUUAAUGCAACAAUCAUCCCACUGGACUGGAGGUUGGCAACUAGGAAGCCUGGAUUCUUUACAUCAGCAACAGACUGGAUGGAGGCAGGAGGCAGUGCGGACCAGAGAGAGGAGUUGUUGCCCGCAGGGUGCCCUUUGAAGACUGCCUUUGCCACCAUCUGCAGCGCGUGGGGCAAGAUAUUAGAAUGGCAUCAGUGUUUGCUUUCACUAAGAGGAAGCGGAGUCCUGGGAGAAAGAGCCGCAGCCUGUGAUUGCACAGCCUUCCCUUGAUGGUACCUUUACCCUGGCAUGUGAGCUAUCAGCCGACUGGGGAUGCUUUCAAAUGAGACAGGAAACAGUUUAGGUGACAAUGAGAAACUCUGGUCUCAGUGGGAUGGAAAUAGAGCCUGGAAGAAAUGGGAAACUUUAAUAUCUGGAUGGAUUCCUUAAACAGCAUCCCCCUGAAGUAAAAGCUUGAAAAAUAAAGUCCACCUGGGUGGUGACUGUCAAGACAGGCCCUGCCCCGUGGGCACUGGCUGAGGAAUUUGGUGUAUUCCACACAUGCCGGAGUUUCCAAGGAGGAAACGUGUUUGAAGUCCAAAGAACAAGGACGGCCUCUGCUUGCUAAUCAGGGGUUCUCAGGUGCAUCUCCG